AGUGUGCCCUUUCCCUCCGGACUUUUUAGCAGUUCUGGGUAAAUAUUGAUUUGCCCCCGGUUUACCUUCUCCCUGACUGGCCAUUUGCAGACUAAGGAAUGAACCUCUGUGAAGACGUGAUUUCUGUCUUUACUUUCCGGUCCUUUCGUCUGUCCCCCACCCCUUCUUCCCUCCAAAUGGCAUUGUAAAACUCACAGUGACAAAGAGACAAAGUAGGGUUUGAGGCUCCAGUUCCUUGGGACUUGAGGGCAGUUUUACAUAAGGGUCAGACUUUGCAGCUGGAGGCCAAGGUCAAGUUGAAAGUUGCAGUCUAGUCAGAGUGAGAGAACUGCAAGGCAAGCCUGGAGACCAAGACAGCUGCAAAAGUCCCACCACCCACCUCCACUCA
rnacentral:lncRNA from 1 species